AAGGAGCAAUGACACAAGAGUUCCUGUCACAAGUCAGACUCGGUCCAGGGAUAAUGCUGGGUGGGGAGGGCUAGUAUUAAGGACAGUGGGCUGCACAGGGCGACAUCACUUUUUGAUCCUUUGAUCCUUCCUAGAACUGUGAAGUAGGAUUCACUUAGUAUUGGAUUGUUCACCCUCUAAAUGGGAAUGUGAGCUGGGUUAGACACUCAUGAGACAGAUUAACUUUACCUCAUGGCUUUACCGAUGAUGCGAUGUUGCGAUUGCUGUUGUGAUCUGCUGCUCUUUAUGAGAGGAACCACAGGUUCAGACACUUGAUGUCUGUCUGUGCUUGGCUGAGGAGCCAAUGACACAGAACCCACAAUUUGUGGGAUUAUGGUUGGAUACCUUCAUGACAACCCCAACGCCUUAAAAGGUGUAAAUGUUCUGCGACACAGAGUUACAAAGCAGAUUAAGAUUUCACAGCAAAUCACCAAAGAGACACCUUCUUCACCGUUCUAGAAAAUCCUUUUCUACAUUAAAGUCCCUGAAAUAAGGAAGAUCCUUGAAGGUGCUAAUUCUUGCACAACAGACACUAGUGCAGUCAAUAAGG
rnacentral:ncRNA from 1 species